GGACGCUGGACAACAUUGAGCUGAUGAACAACGCCUCUACCAUUGCGGGGGCAGUACGCCAGCUAUGGAGGAAGCAUUACCCAAAGUUCAGCAUCGAGCACUUCCAGAUUAUUGACAUUGACGUACCGAAGCAGCUUGGCAAUAAUGAGUGUGGGUUGUUCGCACUGCUUAACGCCACCGAGUGGAAUGGUAGCCAACUGCCCAACUACGACCCCAAGGAAGUACUCAACAUCAGGAAGAAGCUGACGUAUGAUUGGGUCACCAGCGUGCACAACACCGCCCCAUGGAGGAAGUUGCUGAGAUACGACAAGGAGUAGGUUUCCGUUUCGCAAGGAGCUCUUUUCAGAUUUUUCUGCACAUAAUUGGAUGCUACAUUUGAGAAGGAAAAUCCAGGUGAAAGAAGAAAGAAGAAUUGGAGGACAGAUUAUAGUUAUAUGUUUUUCAUCGCCGUUUAUGUUUCUAGAUCUGGUAUAUUUGAACAUAUUAAUAUGGUUUGCAAUAGGUGUGGGACCAGAAUAUAUGCGUGGGA